rnacentral:rRNA from 1 species
AAAGUUCGUAGUGACCUGCGGAGGAUCAUUAAAGAAUAAUUCUUGAUCCGACCAAAGAAAGGAGGGAGAGUUGUAGCUGGCCCUAGGCACGUGCACGCUUUCUUUCUGGACUUUGGUCGUAUGGGCGCGGAGGGUCAACCUCUGCGUCUUCAUAUGCCCCUCUUCGUGUAGAAAGUCUUUGAAUGUUUUUACUAUCAUCGAGUCGCGACUUCUAGGAGAUGCGAUUCUUUGAGACAAAAGUUAUUACAACUUUCAGCAAUGGAUCUCUUGGCUCUCGCAUCGAUGAAGAACGCAGCGAAUAGCGAUAUGUAAUGUGAAUUGCAGAUCUACAGUGAAUCAUCGAAUCUUUGAACGCACCUUGCGCUCCUCGGUGUUCCGAGGAGCAUGCCUGUUUGAGCGUCAGUAAAUUCUCAACUCCUCUCGAUUGACUUCGAGUGGAGCUUGGAUAGUGGGGGCUGCCGGAGACCUGAAUAUUCGUGUUCGGGACUCGGGCUCCUCUGAAAUGUAUUGGCUUGCGGUCUGUUUUCGACUUUGCAUGACAAGGCUUUUGGCGUGAUAAUGAUCGCCGCUCGCCGAAGUGCAUGAAUGAAACCGUGCCGUGCCUCUAAUCCGUCGAUGCCUCUAUGGGGCGUCUUCUUUACGCAUUUGACCUCAAAUCAGGUAGGACUACCCGCUGAACUUAAGCAUAUCAAUAAGCGGAGGAAAAGAAACUAACAAGGAUUCCCCUAGUAACUGCGAGUGAACCGGGAAAAGCUCAAAUUUUGAAUCUGGUGGUGCCUUGCGGCCGUCCGAGUGUAUCWRAAG